CACUGCCAGAGGUGAGCGGGGACUGGCAGAAGGAGCUGCCCAGUCCCGGCUGCCACUCGCGGCCACCCGAGCUAAUUCACUUCCCGGCCACAAUGUGGUGGCUCCGUGCCCAGAGUGUCGCAAGUGGGUUACUGGCCCCGAUCCCCUCCUUCACAGCACUCCUGCCCUUCCCGCAACUUUACCCCGGGCUAGACUCCACAAACACUGUGAAAGGAGCUCUCCCCCCACCCCGGGAAAUACGGUAUUUAAAAACAUAAAGCACCAAGAAAUGUACUUGCCACAUUAUUGGUACACAAACUCCAUUCUUCACUCUUCGUUUCCUGAGGUACUCUUAAAAUAAUGACAAUCUAUAUUUGAAAAAUCCGCCAAGAAACUCGCGCUCCGCAUGCGCAGUAGGCUACUGGACCUGCACAGUACUGCAAAGGCAGAAUUUCAGCUGCCUUCAGCCCCGCUUGUCAUUGACGGCUUGAAGCAGCGCUGACGGCACGUGAGCUGCACAGACCUUCGCGUGUUGCAAGUGCUGCGGAUGAAAGGCACGAUCUCUUAGAUGGACAUAAUUCUGCCAUGGCUUUACUAUUUAUAUUUAAUAAUUGCCAUUUCAUCAUUUUAGUCAGGGUAGGCAGUGCCUACCAUGCCUAACCUGACGGCACGUGCCUGCCUUAUACGAUACCUAAACCACCGCGGGUUCGAUCCUUCUACCUGCCUGGCCAAGCCCUUCAGCCUCGUGCAAGCAGAAACACUCCAAAAGGUCACGCAGUCCCAAGCAGAAUGUAGAGAGGUUAAAGUAUAGGUUGGAUAGAGAACUAAAGUAACAAACAACAGGGAGAUCAGGUUUCAUGGAAACAUAGAAAAAUAGGUGCAGGAGUAAGUAGGCCAUUCGGCCUUUCGAAUUGCUGAACUUCUAAAAUCAGUGCCCCGUUCCUGCUUUCUCCACACACCCCUUGAAUCCUUUAGCCCAGAAAAGCACUAUAUCUAACUCGUGCCUUGAAAACAUCCAGUGAAUUGGCCUCACUCCCUUCCGUGGCAGGGAAUUCCUCAAAUUUGGAGAUGUCACAUUUAAUUGCCUCGUCUAAAUCAUUAAUAUAAAUUGUAAAUAACUGGGGUCCCAGCACCGAGCCUUGCGGCACCCUACUAGUCACUGCCUGCCAUUCUGAAAAGAACCCGUUAAUUCCUACUCUUUGCUCCUGUCUGCCAACCAGUUCUCUAUCCAUGUCAAUACCCUGCCCCCAAUACCAUGUUCUCUAAUUUUGCACACUAAUCUCUUGUGUUGGACCUUGUCAAAGGCUUUUUGAAAGUCCAGUUUCCACUUAGCGAAUUGGCGGGAGGUAUUCUGCAACUUCAUUAGCCCAUCUGUUUGGUCUCUCCGAUGCAGAGGAAAUGACAUUGUGAGUGGGGUCAGUCUCAAAACAAAGAGCAGCAAUAUGUCAAGGUCAUACCACGUACAUAAGUAUCUACUUAUUUAUACUAUACUGACCUCCCACUCUGUCCCUGAACUCACCAUUGGGAUUUAAAUAGCACUGCUGACCGUCAGAAAGUUGCACUGAUGUAGGAAAAUCAGGGUCUGUGCUUUCAGCUCGAUGGAGCGAUGCUUCCAUUUGACAAAAGUUAUAGAUGAUUGGAUAAUUCCCCCAUCAAUUCUUUCUGGAGCCCGUGCUGCCCAGAUGUCUAUUAUGUGAAGAGAUGAAGAAUGCAGGAAUGCAGUUUUACCAUGGUCCUGCCAGACAUCCCACCUACGGGCUGAUACAACGUUAUUGAUGUUCACCCUGAAGACUUCUACGAUUCAUUUCAGUAUCAGAAACUGCACUGACACCUUCCUUGGUUUGAGUUGUUUAAUAGUUUGCAGUGGUGAUUAUGACCCAUCCUGACAUACUCCUUUCCAAUGUUGGGUAUUACUAGUCAUUUCUAUUAGUAAUAAGUAUUUUGACAUUGUACAUUACUGCUUCCUGUCAUAAUAAACCCUACUCUCACCCAUAACCAAUUGACCAUUUUUAUAAUUGGACUAUUUAAAUACUGAUAACAUACUCACAUAGGAUUUUUUUUGUAGGCUAUUCUUAUUUUAUUUAAAGAGGCUUACGAUUAUAUUAAAAAUGUGCAUAUAAAAGAACUUUGCA